AGAGAAGCUAAUCAGAAAGCAAAGGGCAGUGGGAAUAAUCCACAGAUUGUUGUCUGUGAAAUAAAUAGUGAGUGACAGUAUUAUUGUAGUGAGGUGUUUUAAAAUAAAUAAUGUUAUUUCUUUCGAAGUUGUAAUAGUUUCUUGACACUACUAAGUUGUAAUACUAUAGUGGUAAUAUUGGUUCGCUCGAGUAUUGUAUUUUACCCCGUUAAAAAAUUUAGUGUUAUUAUUACUCUCUUGUAUUAUUAUUAUUUGCCACAAAUAUUAUUACUGGGCAAAAUGUAUUUAUUUUCCCAACAAAAUCGAAUACUUGGUUGAAACUAAGCAUAUGUUAUUUUGGUGUUUGGUGUGGCAGGAUUCGAGCAUAGACAUGAAGGGACAGGCUGUGCAAGAUCUUAAGAGUAGAGGGCUAUGUCUUGUGCCAAUGUCUUUUUCUUCUUACAUCACUUAUUCGUGCGAUUGAAACAUCGGACAAGUACUCCAUUGACUUCAAUGCAUGGAAGCAUAUGGUAGGAUUGUACAGUUACUGUAACUUUUCAUGCCCAAAAUCAUCAAGAUAAUGUUUACCGUGACAUAUAGUUUGCUACCAAUAAUCGCUUAAAGAUUUAAAAGCGUUUUUCCCCUCAUGACCAUCCCCAGAUUCUUGAAUUAAUUUCCAUUGGGCGAUGUACGUAAUAAUCACUCCAUUCAAAUUCAUAUUUAGAGUCAAAGGUAUAACUG
rnacentral:lncRNA from 1 species